GCAGUCGAACGGACUUAACCAUUAGUUUACUAUUGGAGCGGUUAGUGGCGGACUGGUGAGUAACACGUAAGCAACCUGCCUAUCAGAGGGGAACAACAGUUAGAAAUGACUGCUAAUACCGCAUAUGCCUAAGUACCACAUGGUACAAUAGGGAAAGGAGUAAUCCGCUGAUAGAUGGGCUUGCGUCUGAUUGGAUAGUUGGUGGGGUAAAGGCCUACCAAGUCGACGAUCAGUAGCCGGACUGAGAGGUUGAACGGCCACAUUGGGACUGAGAUACGGCCCAGACUCCUACGGGAGGCAGCAGUCGGGAAUAUUGCGCAAUGGAGGAAACUCUGACGCAGUGACGCCGCGUGCAGGAAGAAGGUUUUCGGAUUGUAAACUGCUUUAGACAGGGAAGAAAUAAGACAGUACCUGUAGAAUAAGCUCCGGCUAACUACGUGCCAGCAGCCGCGGUAAUACGUAGGGAGCGAGCGUUAUCCGGAUUUAUUGGGUGUAAAGGGUGCGUAGACGGGAAGAUAAGUUAGCUGUGAAAUCCCUCGGCUUAACUGAGGAACUGCAACUAAAACUGUUUUUCUUGAGUACUGGAGAGGAAAGUGGAAUUCCUAGUGUAGCGGUGAAAUGCGUAGAUAUUAGGAGGAACACCAGUGGCGAAGGCGACUUUCUGGACAGAAACUGACGUUGAGGCACGAAAGUGUGGGGAGCAAACAGGAUUAGAUACCCUGGUAGUCCACACCGUAAACGACGGAUACUAGGUGUAGGGGAUAAUAAAUUCUCUGUGCCGUCGCAAACGCAAUAAGUAUCCCACCUGGGGAGUACGGCCGCAAGGUUGAAACUC
rnacentral:rRNA from 1 species